UUUUCUUCUAAAGUUCUGCAGUUAUACCCAGAUGCCACAGAAACAUAGGAUCUUAGAGGAGAAGUAACUUAGGACCACAGUUAAUUUGUUGGGCAUGUAUAUCAUUGACCCUGGAACAGCAAGUUGAAAGUGCACAGAUCUACUUAUAUGUGGAUUUCUUCCACUUCUGCGUCCCCUGAGACAGCAAAACCAACCUCUCUACUUCCUCCUCCUCUUCAGUCUACUCAAUGUGAAGACAACAAGGAUGAAGACCUUUAUGAUGAUUUACUUCCGCUUAAUAAAUAUCUUCAGUUCCUACCUGACAUGAUUUAUCCUCUGGAAGAAAACAAAUCCUGUGGUGACCAGAAUGACCACAAAAAGAGAGAGUUUCACAUAAAGAAUGAUCAGUAAGGACAACGCUGGAUCACCUGAGGUCAGGAAUUCGAGACCAGCCUGACCAACAUGGUGAAACCAUGUUUCUACUAAAAUACAAAAAUUAGCCGAGCGUGGUGGCAUGGGCCUAUAAUCUCAGCUACUCGGGAGGCGGAGGCAGGAAAAUCUCUUGAACCCAGGAGGCAGAGGUUGCAGUGAGCUGAGAUUGCACCACUGCACUCCAGCCUGGGUGACAGAUUGAGACUCUGUCUCAAAAAAAAAAAAAAAAGUAAAGUAAAAAAGAGAAAAAGAAAUUGGCCACCUAAAGAAUGUGUGAACUCUAAAUACAAGUCUGACUCCUGGCUCCAAGAGGUCAUUCUAUCCCAUUAAAUAACCUGCUCAAACACUAAACUAGAAAAAUGUCAGACAAUCCUAGGCAUUGUGAGGAAAUAAGAAAAUGAUAUGGUUACAGUCCUCAAAAUAUCUUAUAAUCCAACUGGAGAAGUCAGACUCAUACAAAUGAGAAGACAACUUAUAUGAAAGAAAAAUAAAAGCUCAAGACCCCAAUUCACUAUGCCAAAUGGGAAAAAUUAAGCUGAAAGCUGAGUCAUGCAAGCAACUACCUUUCCUUUUAUUCCUAAGCAGAUAGCUACAGAUAAAACAUAAAUUUCUCCACAGGUAGCUACUCUGUGUUCACCUUAUCAUAAUUGACUAUUCCUCUAAUUGCUCCUUUUCUCUUGCAACUUGUGAAUUACCACACCCUUCCUCUUUCCCCUCCAGCGCACUUUUACCCUUUAAAUAUUGAAGCCCUCAAAGUCAUCUUUGGAGAAAGGCACAGAUCACCGACUGUUUCUGAGAUUCUGUGGUGUUUUUUUUGUUUUGUUUUGUUUUGUUCUGUUUUGAUCUGUGCAAAUUGUCCUAAACCUUGGCAAAAUGAACUUCUAAAUUAAUUGAGACCUGUCUCCAAUACUUUUUAGUUAAAUGUACAAGAGAGAAAACAGUGCUGGAUGAACAUUACAGAUUAUAAAUCAUCUAAGGAAUUCAGAACGUUUAAUCAACUCUAACACAGAGGUCAGGGAGAAGCAGGACUUGAAAUGGACCUUGCUGGUCUGCGGGAUUGAAUAGGUUAAAAGAAAGACUUUUCAAGAUAAAGAACUAAUUUGAGAAAAGUUUUAAAGAUGAGUUUACCUAAGUCAUAUUUGGAGCAUAGAAUGGAAUAUGUAGAGAUGAGUCUGCAAUGAUUUGAACCUAAUUCUGCAGUGACUUGUAUGUGUCAGCAACUGUGCCAGACUUUAGGAAUACAAAAAUAAAAGUAGUGGUUCCAACUCUCAAGGACCUUACACUGUGCUGAGAGUCACAGAAGUAAGUGGUUGUAAUAUGAUAAGCAAUAUGUAUGUAUUUGGUCUUUGUCCCCCAGUUCCUGGCACACUUCCAAGGAUUUUUCCUAAACUUCUUGGAAGUUCCACAGUGAUCCAUCUUUUGUAUGCUAAUGAGAUGAGUGGUGGCUGGGAGCCUGAAGACAGCUUCAGGAUGGGGCUGGUAAUUAGAAAGACCAAGACAUGGUUAGAGGGUUGAAACUUUCAGCCCCACACCACCACUCUCCCCUUCCAUUGACCUCCUGGGAGGGGAGAGGGGCUAGAGAUUAAGCUAAAAACCAAUGCCCAACAAUUUAAUCAAUCAUACCUAUGUAAUAGAGCCUCCACAAAAACUCUACAUGACAGAGUCUGGAGAGCUUCUGGGUUGGGAGAUUUUCUGAGCUGGUGAACACACUGAGGGGCUGGGAGGUUGGCACUCCCAGAGACAUCACGGAAGCUCCUUCCCCCAUACCUUGCCCUAUGCAUCUCUUUUUAUCUUUUUUUGUCUGUUCCUGAGUUGGACACUUUACAAUAAAUUAGUAAUAGUAAAUAAGUGCAUUCCUGAGUGUCAAAUUUAAAAAUCUAAGCUGUUGGAAUUUUAAAAUAUGUUGAGCCUUAACGGAAUGUGAUUAUGAGACCUGAGUUAUGUAAACAAGCAGCUAUGACCUAGGCAGCCAAAAUUUUUGUUUACCUGAUUGUACAUUAGCCUUUUUCCUUGCCUACAUUGUUUUGUAAACUGCUGUAAAUGAUUAAAGGGUGCCAGGGAAGACGUAUUCCCUCUAAACUGUUGAUCUUCAUUAUUGAUUAACUUCCUUCUUUCUUCUCUCAUACAAUGACUACCACAUUGCCUAACAUGAAAUGUUAACUGUACUCUUAAAAUUGGAAAGGAAAUGAAAACAAACUGUACAGAAAAGAAAACAAACUGUAACUUUAAUUAAAUCAUUAUAACUCAUAAACCAGCUUUGUAUGUAAAAAGGGUAUAAUCCUACUGAAUUUGUUUUCUGCCUAUAUAAGCAAGACCUUAAGUUUGAAGUUUGAAGCACUGACCCCAUUCCUUUGGAGUCUGUGUUACCCGAAUGGCUGUUCUCAGACUUUUGCUUAAAUAAACUCUUUUAAACUGG
rnacentral:lncRNA from 1 species